AUUGAACGCUGGCGGCAUGCCUUACACAUGCAAGUCGAACGGCAGCAUGGAGAGCUUGCUCUCUGAUGGCGAGUGGCGAACGGGUGAGUAAAGCAUCGGAACGUACCGUGUAGUGGGGGAUAACGUAGCGAAAGUUACGCUAAUACCGCAUACGCACCGAGGUGGAAAGCAGGGGAUCGUAAAACCUUGCGCUAUACGAGCGGCCGAUGUCAGAUUAGCUAGUUGGUAGGGUAAAGGCCUACCAAGGCGACGAUCUGUAGCUGGUUUGAGAGGAUGAUCAGCCACACUGGAACUGAGACACGGUCCAGACUCCUACGGGAGGCAGCAGUGGGGAAUAUUGGACAAUGGGCGCAAGCCUGAUCCAGCCAUGCCGCGUGUGUGAAGAAGGCCUUCGGGUUGUAAAGCACUUUCAGUAGGGAGGAAGCGUUGUGUGUUAAUAGUACACAGCGUUGACGUUACCUACAGAAGAAGCACCGGCUAACUCUGUGCCAGCAGCCGCCGUAA
rnacentral:rRNA from 1 species